rnacentral:rRNA from 1 species
CGCCAGACUCCUACGGGGGGCAGCAGUGGGGGAUAUUGCACAAUGGGGGGAACCCUGAUGCAGCGACGCCGCGUGGGUGAAGGAGUAUUUCGGUAUGUAAAGCCCUCUCGGCAGGGAAGAAGCAAGACGGUACCUGACUAAGAAGCCCCGGCUAACUACGUGCCAGCAGCCGCGGUAAUACGUAGGGGGCAAGCGUUAUCCGGAUUUACUGGGUGUAAGGGGAGCGUAGACGGCAGCGCAAGUCUGAAGUGAAAUGCCGGGGCUUAACCCCGGAACUGCUUUGGAAACUGAGCAGCUAGAGUGCAGGAGAGGUAAGUGGAAUUCCUAGUGUAGCGGUGAAAUGCGUAGAUAUUAGGAGGAACACCAGUGGCGAAGGCGGCCUGCUGGACUGCGACUGACGUUGAGGCCCGAAAGCGUGGGGAGCAAAC